AUGUCUUCGACAUCAUUGGGCUAUGUCGCUGUUCUACGCUGUCCGGUGAUUUUUAAUGAUGCUAAUUAUGCUGAGUUUGCUUUCUUUAUGUGCAUUCACAUGCGUGGCCUUCAUUUAUGGGAAGUUUUUUCUGACGAGGUUCCCUGUCCUCAGCGUCCAGUUCCUCAUGUGGCUCCUAUCCCACCGCCACCUCCACCGGCUCUUGGCGCAGAUGCUUCUGAUGAUGAUAGGGCUGCAGCCCGGGUUGCUGUUGACGAUGCGGUCGCUGCUUAUGACCAGCAGGUCGCGGUUUAUUCGGAUGCUCUUUCCAUUUAUCAUGAUGAUCUGACUGCUUAUACUCAGUGGUGUGAUGAUGAUGUUCGUGUUACGGCUAUCCUCACUUCCAGUGUUUUACCACAGUUUGCAUCUGAGUUUAUGGGCCUCGGUACUGUGUUUGAGAUGUGGACUCGUCUUCGUCAGCGCUAUCAGCCCUCUGGUGAUGCUCUCUACUUGUCUGUGGUACGUCAGGAGCAUGCUCUUCAACAGGGAGACUCCACUAUUGAUGAGUUCUACACUCAAAAAGUUCUGCUAUCUGGCGCCAGCUUGACUCCCUUCGCACUAUUGUUUGUGGCACUUGCGCGUGUUGCCAGACUGUGA
rnacentral:rRNA from 1 species